rnacentral:lncRNA from 1 species
CUUGGUGGGGGUGGAGCCCUCAUGAACGAGCUCAGUGCGCCUAUAACAGGGACCUCAGAGAGCACCCUUGCCCCUUCCACCAUGCGAGGACACAGCAAGAAGAUGGCCAUCUAUGAACCAGAAAGUGGGCCCUCGCCAGACACCGGGUCUGCUGGUUGCUUGAUCUCAGACUUCCAGCCUCCAGGCUGUGAGAAUCGAUCCUUGUCCGCGAUCCUCCCUGGGGAACGCGUAACUUCCUGCGCAAGGCAGCUCACGUCGAUUCAAAGCGAUUCUCUGGAGAAGGAGGCCGUGUCAGUCAUUGGCAUCCAACACUCAAGCAACCGGGAGGUGCAGCCAUUGACUCAGAACAGGGCAUCUGAGUGGGGCCCCACGGCACCUGCUACGGCGCGCCCCUGGCCUGCUCGGGCUCACCGGCUUCUCUCAAUUCGUUUCCAGUUGCCCAGAAUCUGAAAACACAUCCCUGACAGAUGAGAUGGGCACUACGACGCUGCUGGGGGAGAGACACUGAGAUGCCACCUGGCACUGAGGUCCGGGUUUGGGGAGAUGGCCUCCCUCUGCCGGUGCUUCUCUGGCCUCUGUGCCUCCUGGAAGAUGCUCCCAGGCUCCGCCACCUGCGCCGAGAAUAAACUCUGAACCGAGAUGUCGCCCUUUUGUAUCUUCUAAGAGAAGGUCCUGUGGAUUCUCUUUAAAAGAAAAAAAAUGACAGGACAAGGGAAAGUGGGUAACUUUAGAAAGGCGAGUUGGCGGGUGUGUCUCUUCUUCGUGGAUGGCUCGAGGUUGCAGGGAGAGCUGCACAGAGCUGGGUCUGGGGGCUCUGAGGACCCCGGGGCCGCCAAAAGGCAGGCUCCAGGGAGGGAGGAAAGUCAAGAAGGUGAUGCUCUUUGUUACCCAUCAUGACACAUGUUUCUGUAGCGUCAAAUAGACGGAUACGCGUUG